GUAAGGCUACAGCACUGCCUCAAGUCAGUUCCGUUCGGUUAUCUUGUGUGUACAUAAUAUUGUGACAUCGUGACUGCAAAUGGGAAUUAUUAUUGGCAUUGUAAUGACGUAGUGAGAUAGACUUGUGGAUUUUAUUCGUUGUGAAGCAGAGGUUAAAGGUCUCCAUGGAAUUUGCGAUUUGUUCAAGUUAUAGAAAGGUGCGUUGCCCGUCAGAAGAAUGUCAAGUUGCUGCUCUCCUGAGGCCUCUUUGGGAAGUUCAUAAGUAAAUGAGAGGACGCGGUAAUAUAGGACUGAAGCUGUUGAAGGUCAUUGAAUUCUUAUCUCCUUGGAGGAAAAUGAUUUGCUUCGUUCAUCAAGAACUGGUGAGGAGGCUGUCCACUUUUCACACUGGUUGGCAAGUUACCGCUAGAUAUGAAAAUGAAUAAGUUUGGAAUGGUUCUGACGCAGUUAUACGGUCUAUCCUUUGCUGUAGAUUACCGAUCCUAGAUUGAGAGCAAUCACUUCCAUGGAAGACAAGCAAAGUACAUCAAUCAGCCAUCCUUCGGCAAAUGUUGGUUCGCAACCAAAUCCUUCGGCAAAUGUUGGUUCGCAACAAAAUCAAUAA